rnacentral:misc_RNA from 1 species
AAAUCUUCAAAGUAAAUCUUUUGUUAAUUCAAUUGGUUCUACUUUGGUAUUGGAGGUUUUUGCAGUUUCACACCUGCUCCUCUUUGUGCAUUAGCUGGAUCUCAGUGUUAUGCUUGGUUCCACUCGGCGUGAUAAGUUAUCUAUCGCUGAGGACACUGUAACAGGUGGCCAAGGUAAAUGCAGAUGAACCGCUUCUAAUAGUCCAUUGACUUGGACAAUAUUUUUAUG